GGGGGUGUGGUGUAGUGGAUAGCAUCUGGGGUUACGAACCCCUGGACCCCGGUUCGAAUCCGGGCACCCUCG
rnacentral:tRNA from 1 species